rnacentral:snoRNA from 1 species
ACUCUCCCAGGGGAGUGUAACACUCUCCCAGGGAGUGUAACACUCUCCCAGGGAGUGUAACACUCUCCCAGGGAGUGUAACACUCUCCCAGGGGAGUGUAACACUCUCCCAGGGAGUGUAACACUC